rnacentral:rRNA from 1 species
GGACGGGUGAGUAAUGCUUAGGAAUCUGCCUAUUAGUGGGGGACAACAUUCCGAAAGGAAUGCUAAUACCGCAUACGCCCUACGGGGGAAAGCAGGGGAUCUUCUGACCUUGCGCUAAUAUAUGAGCCUAAAUCGGAUUAUCUAGUUGGUGGGGUAAAGGCCUACCAAGGCGACGAUCUGUAGCGGGUCUGAGAGGAUGAUCCGCCACACUGGGACUGAGACACGGCCCACACUCCUACGGGAGGCAGCAGUGGGGAAUAUUGUACAAUGGGCGGAAACCUGAUCCAGCCAUGCCGCGUGUGUGAAAAAAGCCUUUUGGUUGUAAAGCACUUUAAGCGAGGAGGAGGCUACUAUUACUAAUACUACUGGAUAGUGGACGUUACUCGCAGAAUAAGCACCGGCUAACUCUGUGCCAGCAGCCGCGGUAAUACAGAGGGUGCGAGCGUUAAUCGGAUUUACUGGGCGU